UACGUAGGGUGCGAGCGUUGUCCGGAAUUACUGGGCGUAAAGAGCUCGUAGGUGGUUUGUCGCGUUGUUCGUGAAAUUCCCUGGCUUAACUGGGGGCGUGCGGGCGAUACGGGCAGACUGGAGUACUGCAGGGGAGACUGGAAUUCCUGGUGUAGCGGUGGAAUGCGCAGAUAUCAGGAGGAACACCGGUGACGAAGGCGGGUCUCUGGGCAGUAACUGACGCUGAGGAGCGAAAGCGUGGGGAGCGAACAGG
rnacentral:rRNA from 1 species